rnacentral:rRNA from 1 species
GGGUUACGGAGUGAUUCUCUGGGUCACCUCCCACCCGUGUUUAUUUUACCUUGUUGCUUCGGCGAGCCUGCCUUCGGGCUGCCGGGGGGCAUCUGCCCCCGGGUCCGCGCUCGCCGGAGACACCUUGAACUCUGUCUGAAGAUUGUAGUCUGAGACAAAAUAUAAAUUAUUUAAAACUUUCAACAACGGAUCUCUUGGUUCCGGCAUCGAUGAAGAACGCAGCGAAAUGCGAUACGUAAUGUGAAUUGCAGAAUUCAGUGAAUCAUCGAGUCUUUGAACGCACAUUGCGCCCUCUGGUAUUCCGGAGGGCAUGCCUGUCCGAGCGUCAUUGCUGCCCUCAAGCACGGCUUGUGUGUUGGGCUCCGUCCUCCUUCUGGGGGGACGGGCCCGAAAGGCAGCGGCGGCACCGCGUCCGGUCCUCGAGCGUAUGGGGCUUUGUCACCCGCUCUGUAGGACUGGCCGGCGCCUGCCGAUCAACCAAACUUUUUUCCAGGUUGACCUCGGAUCAGGUAGGGAUACCCGCUGAACUUAAGCAUAUCAAUAAGCGGAGGAA